GCAGGAACUGGAGAGGAGAGGGGGCGAUUGCUGGACUGCGCGUUAAUAUCCGACGCCGAAGCCUGCAGCCGCUUGGGUUGACAGGAAAAGGCGAUGGCGGCCAAUUCCAGCCUCUUGGCGCUUUGUCGAGCUGCUAGCUGCCAGCAACGGGAUAAAUUGGUUUCCCCGGUCUGCUCGCAAGAAUUGUCCUUGCCGAACGGCCUACGCGUUCGCCCGCCGCUGUUCGAACCACCUUAGCUUGCGUAGCGGCGGUGGAUACCAAGCUGCAGCUGGUUGAGUUCUCGCCAGCCUCCGUGUCCGCGCGAUGGCCGAAAGCAGCCAACUCCUCGUCACAGUCAGAGCGUCGCUCGUCCGGUCGUUAUCGCCGCCCUCCGGCCAAUUGGCGCGCGGGGCUGGUCGUCGCAUCGCCCGACUGCAAACGUGGAGGCGUGCCCCGAACUUCGAAACAGCUGCAGGUGGGGUACCGGGUUCAGCUCGCUGCGUGAAGACGUACUCCGCCGUCCGCUUGGUUCGGCCCCGCUGCGAGGCGCGUGUGACGUCAUCGUGCCGAAUGGCACGGAGGCAGUACCUUCGUUGGAUUCUCCCCGCUGGCUGACACUGUCCUGUGACCCAGGAGACCGACGACGCUGGGCACGCGGCUGGCGCGCGGCGACGGGGUGCGAGGAGCGCGACUAUAAGGAUGGCGCGCUCGCUCAUCCCCAGCGACGGCCCAUCAGCACCUGAGGCGCCGACCGGGAGACCGACGACGCCGGGCACGCGGCUGGCGCGCGGCGACGGGGUGAGAGAAGCGCGACUAUAAGGAUGGCGCGCUCGCCCAUCCCUAGCGACGGCCCGCCAGCACCUGAGGCGCCGACCGGGAGGCCUGCGGUGAUAGCUGUCGCGCUGCGGGCGGGGACCGGACGCGCCGCGACGGAGACGGCGCCGGCCGGAGGGAAAGGCUGCUCCCUGCGCGGGGUCUGGCUGACUGAAGAUGCUAGACGCCUGGCCCGACCCCGGAUGAGGAUAGUGUUCACCGGAGCGGGGUACUAAGUCACCCGGACCGGUGGUCACGAAUCAGCCCGGACGAGCGUUCAAUUGCUGGCAUUCACGGCCUGUUCAAGUCAACGGGAAAGGCUGCUCCCUGCGCGGGGUCUAGCUGACUGAAGAUGCUAGACGCCUGGCCCGACCCCGGAUGAGGAUGGUGUUCACCGGAGCGGGGUACUAAGUCACCCGGACCGGUGGUCACGAAUCAGCCCGGACGAGCGUUCAAUUCCCGGCAUUCACGGCCUGUUCAAGUCAUCGGGAAAGGCUGCUCCCUGCGCGGGGUCUGGCUGACUGAAGAUGCUAGACGCCUGGCCCGACCCUGGAUGAGGAUAGUGUUCACCGGGGCGGGGUACUAAGUCACCCGGACCGGUGGUCACGAAUCAGCCCGGACGAGCAUUCAAUUGCUGGCAUUCACGGCCUGUUCAAGUCAACGUUCGGGUGUGCACACCGCGACUAUUUUCCUUUGCUGAGCUCCGCCCCUGCUGAGAGCGCGGGUGUUCUCCGUGUUGCCAAACCGUGGUCCUAAGAGGGACUAUCGAAGUGGCCGAAGCUGCGAACAUUGGAUGGCUAUUCAGGGGAUUACAGGGAAAGGCUGCUCCCUGCGCGGGGUCUGGCUGACUGAAGAUGCUAGACGCCUGGCCCGACCCCGGAUGAGGAUGGUGUUCACGGGAGCGGGGUACUAAGUCACCCGGACCGGUGGUCACGAAUCAGCCCGGACGAGCAUUCAAUUGCUGGCAUUCACGGCCUGUUCAAGUCAACGGCGUGAGAUCCGUUUCGUCGCCUGGAGUGCAUCGCCCGAGUUGGCCGUGCCUGCACCAACGCUUGAUCUGCACUCGGCGUUACAACGCCAGCAGAGUGAACCAUCGGGGAAUGCUGCAUAUCGUGAUACGUGUCUUACGCUGGCACCGGCUGGGUGCGUUGG